AGCCACAAAUUCAUUUCUAAAGUAAAAAAUGAAACACAAUUUCACAUUUGCCUCCUGAAGACAAAUGAGAUGGCUGUUCUUAGAGCAUCUCUGAAGAAAGAUGCUAUAAAUAAAGCUCAAAUGAUUAUUAUCUAGAAUUAGGAAAGCCAAGACUCAAAGAAAAAUUCCUCUUAAUCAUUUGUUCAUCUCAAAAUAUUAUAAGUAAAUGUUUAGAAAAGCUUGUCAGGUUAUCAGAGAAUCUGAUUUUCUUAUGUCCUGUCAGUUUACUGUCCUACAGUUUACUUUUUAUAAAAGUAAGCUUCACAAGGACUAAUCUUUCUGCAAAAGGGAUAUUGAGAAGAUCAGUACAAUAUCUUUCUUCCCGUGGUCUUAAAAAUAAUUGUGUGAUUAUUUGUUAUAACAAAAACCAGACUCUUAGAAUCCUUGAUUCUGAGAUAAGUUACUGGCGAAAACUCCUUCACUGGAGGUAUUUUUAAAAAUAGGACAAAAUUUGAUGUCUUUAGAUUGAUAGAGGAAUAGUACUACUUGGGAGAGCUGAAAUGGAUUAAAUGUUUCUUGCCAAACUUUAUUAUAUCUAUGUCCUUUGUUGGAAUGGAUAAUAAGGGGGUUGUGAGAGUUACAAGGAAUUGGCAACAGUUAAUUCUAUAAAAUAGGAACUCCAAAUGCAUGUAAGAUAUGUGGGAGGCCACACAGAUACGGAACCAUCUGGCCUCUAUCCUGUUUGGCUGUCUGAGAGCGCCAGACUAUGCAGAACACACAUUCAACUUUUAAACAUCCUCUUUGCAAUGUCUUCACUCAACGAUGUCACACGCAGGUGUUAAUAUGGCAAUGUUCUUGGUUGCCUUGGCAAUUUGACAAAAUAAACUUGGAGUUUUAGCCCUUAAAAAGAAAUGUACAGGUGCUAAAACUUUUUUAAAAAGGAUUAGCUAUUUUGAGAUUCAAUAGAAUUUAACUAUUUUUAAAUGUCAAAGAAAAUCCAGAGUUCACUAAGAUGUAAUUAAGAAGUGAAAACACUUUCUUCCCACAUUGAACGGAAGUGGUUUUAUUUGCUCAAAAAGAGAUACUGACUUCAGGACCAGUGUUUUAGCAAUAAGGAAACUACUCACAAGUAAAAAGUUCUGCUUUUUAAAAACCCUGGAAAUGCCAUUACUAAAAUUGAUCACGUACUUAUUUACUUUUGGUUUUGAGUAACUUCUAGGAUGUUUAAAAAAUAAAACCCACCCUCACAGGACAGGGAUUUUCCACCAGUGAAUAUAAACAUAUAGAAAGGAAUAUGCUCUAGAGUUGGCACUGUAUUCUCAAAGGGGAGUCCCUCAAUUAGUUUGGUCAGUUUUUCUUUGAAGUAAAUUUAGUCUCUUCCAAGGUAAUACUUUGAUAAAGACAACAAUUAUUUUUCCAUCCAAGUUCUAUCACACACUCUUCUUGGAGUUGUAGGAUGGCUGCCAGCGCAUGCUUCUUGUUUCAUAACCAGUAGGGGGAGCAAGAGUGCUUUUAUCGAGCAUUUGCAAGCAAAAGUUCUGGGAUUCAUCCUCACUGGUCUAGCCUAGGUCACAUACCAGUAAUUUUUGCUGGGGGAAUGGAUUCUGCAGCUUGGCUUAAACCAAACUGAAUUAUUUCCAAAGUUACAAGCAGGACUAAGUUUCCCGAAAGCACAAGGGCUUUGUGGAGGAGAUGUGAAUACUUUAAAAGCUGGAUAUUGGUAAGAAGCGGGAAGAGGACAAUGAAUCUUGAAUUCGUGUGUUCAAAAGUGAAAAUAUUGGAGUUUCUGAGUUUCAAGGUAAUGUAGAAGGUAAGCAAGCAGGCAUUGUCAGUAUCCUGAGGGAUCAUGUCCAAGAACUUUACAGAACCCAAAGGCAGAGGAGAGAGCCAGGAAUGCUGGUGUCCUGAGGAACAUGCGGCAGUGGCACUGCUCUUCCUGGGCCCCUAGGGGCGCACCACUGAGAAGCAUCAAAAGCACCUUCAGUUUGGCAGUCUGGAAAAGGAGAUCUUGCAGCUGAAAUCAAGGAGAUUGCCACAACCACCUCAACCUUCAGCAAGCAUCAUCCUGAUCAGUCAGCAGCCAUCAAGGCCCCUCACCGGCAAAAGAAAAAAUUACAACUCACUGAAGGCUCAGACUUCAAAAAGUCCAGUGUUGAAGCAGUUCUGAAUUGAGAUCUCAUAAUUCCCAAGGACAUAGAGCUCAAGAGUAUCUGCAUUUGGAGAAGAGCCUGGGAAGCAGCUAUCCAAGCACUGGGUGCAUUCCAAUCUCAGGUCCCUCGUUGGCUGCUCGUCAGAUUUCUCUCUUCAAUUCCAAGCGCAUCUUAUGUAAACAAUAGUGUCUAUGAUAGUGGAUGUGAUUGUGUGCUACCUGGAUCUCCUAGCUGAAAUCCUUCGAAGAAUUUCCUUCAGUCAAUGGGAGCCACCUCCCCUGAGGUUAUGGCUCCAGGUGAAGAUUAAACAGCUGUAGAAGUGUCAUCCAAGAUUGGCCAAUGCUGUUCCUGAGAGUCCUUCCUGGAGAGCCAUCUGCACACAGAUCUCAGUCUCAGAGUCUAUUUCCCAAUGAAUCUAAUCUGAGAGAUCUCUUCAUUUGCUGUUUUUUCCCUAUAGACUGGUGGUGUUGAGUCUAGGCUCCAGAUUUUCUAUCUCCCACUCCACACCACCACCUAGCUGUCCUGCUCAGCAUGCUCAGAAUCUGUAGGACUCCAGCUGCCUUUUCCAAACCUGGUCGGUGCAAUGGCAUUCUCACUUUGACUGCAAAACUCCUCACCAAAUAUAAAACUGAAAAUGUAGGCCACCUGUCCAUGUGAUUGUAUUUCAUAACUUAGAGCUAAAAAUAGCUCUCAGCUUGCUUGGCCUGUAUAUAACAUAUUAAAAGCUCAAAUUCAAAUUCACUCGCAUCUUGGAUUAAUGUUAAGAUUAUGGCUUUCCAGACUUCUUUCUCUCACAUUCUAUCUCACCCAGCAGGGAAUGGAUUGUGCUUGUCCACAUUAUUUUCUAUGUGAAUUACUGAGCUCUUAUUUUCAAAGAUGAAUUUCGUGACCUUAUGCUCUUUGCUGUACCUGCAGAAUUCAUUUUGGAGGGCACAGACUCUAGAACCAGACAGCAGGGUAAGGCUGGGUAUCUGUGGCCAAGGCAUGAAAAUUUUGCCUUGAUUUCUUCAUCUGUGAAAUGGAGACGAAAUCAUACAUAUUUCCUGAGGCUGUUUUGAGAAGUAAACACACUAAUUCAUGGCUAGUGUUUAGCUAAAAUCUGGACACACACACAGAGUGGACAAAUAUGAUAAUUAAAAGCAAAAAUCAACAAAAUAAAAAAUCACCACCGCAUAGCAUGACCAAUUUGUCCUAGUUUGCCUGGAACAAUCUGUUUUCUCACUGAAAGCCCCAAAUCUCAGAAAAUUUCUUAAUUCUGGGCAAAUUGGAACGGUUGUUUACUCUAUUCACCACCAAUGAAACAAACAAAAGGUUCUGAGUAAUUCAUUUAUUCAAGAAGUGUUUAUUUAUAACUAAUAAAUUCUAGACAGUGUGAUGGUAUUUUAAAGGUAAACAUGACAAAAAUGUAUCCUCAUGGAACACUCAAGCUAAUGAGAGAGAAUUAUGAAAAUGGGAAAAUUGUAUAUGUGCUGUCCUGAAAACUGGCAUGAAAUGGACAAAGAGUGUAAUUCUGAGAUGCAUUGUAUUCAGUGGGACACAAUCCAGGAAUUUCAUGGAUUACACACUUCUGUCUAAUGCUACUUUUUUUUUUCCCCAAGCAAAAUGCUAUGGGGAGUUAACAGGGUUACAUAUGAAAAAGCUUUCCAUAAGCAGGUAAGUUAAACAGCUUGCUGUUACAUUACUACAGUACUUCUCAGCAUCUUUAAUAGCCUACUGAACACUUAAAUCUCAGAUGGGGAUGUUUUAAGUAUUAUUUCUGAACUUUUAGACUUUUCAACAACAUAGAAUUUUUUUAAAACUCAUGUGAUGGUACCAAUAUUCCGUAGGGCUUUGACAGAAGGAAAAUCUAAGUGGUAUUAGGCAUUGAACACAGAAAGCUCAAAGUAGGAAGAAAAGUGCCAAACCCCAACUCCUCAUAAAUAGAGACAGAAGUCAUGCUUCAGUCAUCAGAGCCAGAGCUGUGGUUCUUAACCGUUUUUCUUUUGGUUCAUGAGCCUUGUUUCAGAAUUUAAUGAGCACAUGGAUGCAUAGAGGAUAAGAAGCUUCAAUCAAGAGCCUUGAAAUUCACAGAGCAUGCUGAAGAGAUGCUAAGUCUUCUUAGGAAUUGAAAAAUCUUCUCUAAGUGAAUUUUGAUCCUUCCUAUCAGCAGAGAUGGAAAGAACCUGCAGACUGAAAUAAAUACUAACACAAGAAAGAAAUUCCACGUGUGGACUAGCAUGGGAUAAUAGUGUAGAAUGCAUAGAAGCAGGACUUAGAUGAAAUAUAGUAGUCACUUUCAUAUAUGGAGUGCUUACUAUUACAUGCUUUAUCUUAUUUAAUCAAGAGAUAUUUAUCCUGGUAUUUAGGCUGUGGCUUCUGAAAUCAGACUUCUUGGUUUUGAAUAUUGUUUUUGCCAUUUACUGGUGAUGCAACCUGGAAGAAAUUACUAAAAUACCUCUAAGUCUUGUAAUUCCCAUCUCUAAAGUAGCAAUCAUAAGACAGUAGUAUCUUUUUCAUCAGGCUUGUAGAGGUUUCAUGACAUAAUUGCUGCAGGCUGAUUUCUAACUCAUAGUAAAGCUCAGUAAAUAUUACCUAAUGUUUUUCAUAUUAUUAUUAGGUGGAUAUUAUUCUUAGCAUUUUCAUUUCAUGGAAGAGGUAACUGAGAACAGGAGUGAUCUAUAGCAGACUCUUCCUAUCAACCCCAUUUAGGGGUUCAUUAUUGGGGAGAAACAGGAAAGCAGUGUCAUAUAUUUCAGCCUCAUUUUUCUCUCAGAAGAAAUUAUAUUAAUAAAAUAAUGUUCUUGGUCUCUUUCUAAAUUAUUUUUCUCUGAGUCAUCCUUUAUGCAAGUGAUAUUUAUAACUUUGUGAAUCACACCCACACUUGUGUGGGUUCUCUCCUUGGGUCAUAUGUAUUUUUAGUGUGUCUUUAUAUUUUGGGGACACGGGGAGAUGUUCUUUAUAACAGAUAUGUAACUUAAGAUACUCUCUUCUGAUUUAGGAGGGACCUUCAUAUCCCAGGACCUGCUGAAGUCAUUCCGAACAGGUUUAAGUUGCCUCUGGUCUGUCCUCUGUCCCACCUACACAGCACAAGUAAAAAGGAGAGAGAGAAACCACUGAAACAAAAACAUUCUGUAUUUU
rnacentral:lncRNA from 1 species